UACGAAGGGGGCUAGCGUUGCUCGGAAUCACUGGGCGUAAAGGGUGCGUAGGCGGGUUUUUAAGUCAGAGGUGAAAUCCUGGAGCUCAACUCCAGAACUGCCUUUGAUACUGAAAGUCUUGAGUAUGGGAGAGGUGAGUGGAACUGCGAGUGUAGAGGUGAAAUUCGUAGAUAUUCGCAAGAACACCAGUGGCGAAGGCGGCUCACUGGCCCAUAACUGACGCUGAGGCACGAAAGCGUGGGGAGCA
rnacentral:rRNA from 1 species